rnacentral:rRNA from 1 species
UACGUAGGGUGCAGGCGUUUAAUCGGAAUUACUGGGCGUAAAGCGCACGUAGGCGGAUACUUAAGUCAGGGGUGAAAUCCCGGGGCUCAACCCCGGAACUGCCUUUGAUACUGGGUAUCUCGAGUCCGGAAGAGGUGAGUGGAAUUCCGAGUGUAGAGGUGAAAUUCGUAGAUAUUCGGAGGAACACCAGUGGCGAAGGCGGCUCACUGGUCCGGUACUGACGCUGAGGUGCGAAAGCGUGGGGAGCAAACAGG